GCCACCUAUUAUCAUCAUCGGUGGAUUCAUCAUCAUAGACAUCAGCAGGGAUGUCGGGAGAUGGUGGGGGAGGCAUGUGGUAAACUAACUCAUCGAGCUUUGCCCCAAAUGGUGCAAGCUGAGAUCUAAGCUCAUAUAUGUGAUGUAGGGCCACUAUGUCCUCCUAAGAUCUACGGUGCUCCUCCUCAGCUCGACGCAUCUCCUCCUCAUGUCUUCUCUCCACCUCUUGGAGAUUAGCAUCACAAGAAAUAUGUGAUGCUCUAGAAGAGCUAGAGGCUGCAAUCGGAUAUCCCAAAUCCGUAAUUUAACUGGAUCUUCUACCAAGCAUCUCAUCACAGAUAUAAUCAUCUGUGGGUGCGGUGGAGCCCUCAGUGGUGGUUUGAGAUCGUAUCUGGAUCAUCCACUCCUAAUUAAAGAAAAAAUAAAUAUAAUCAAAAG
rnacentral:lncRNA from 1 species